rnacentral:rRNA from 1 species
GUGCCAGCAGCCGCGGUAAUACAGAGGGUGCAAGCGUUGUUCGGAAUUAUUGGGCGUAAAGCGCGUGUAGGCGGCGGGGCAUGUCGGGUGUGAAAGCCCUCGGCUUAACCGAGGAAGUGCGCCCGAAACUGCUCUGCUCGAGUGCUGGAGAGGGUAGCGGAAUUCCCGGUGUAGAGGUGAAAUUCGUAGAUAUCGGGAGGAACACCAGUGGCGAAGGCGGCUACCUGGACGGACACUGACGCUGAGACGCGAAAGCGUGGGGAGCAAACAGGAUUAGAUACCCUGGUAGUCCACGCUGUAAACGAUGGGAACUAGGUGUGGCGGGUGUUGACCCCUGCCGUGCCGAAGCUAACGCAUUAAGUUCCCCGCCUGGGAAGUACGGCCGCAAGGUUAAA